rnacentral:rRNA from 1 species
CGCAAGCCUGACGGAGCAAGACCGCGUGCGGGAUGACGGCCUAAUGGUUGUAAACCGCUUUUCUCUGGGAAGAUGAUGACGGUACCAGAGGAAUCAGCCUCGGCUAACUCCGUGCCAGCAGCCGCGGUAAUACGGAGGAGGCGAGCGUUAUCCGGAAUUAUUGGGCGUAAAGCGUCCGUAGGUGGUUAUUCAAGUCUGCUGUCAAAGCAUGGGGCUUAACUCCAUAGAGGCAGUGGAAACUGGAUGACUUGAGUGCGGUAGGGGUCGAGGGAAUUCCCAGUGUAGCGGUGAAAUGCGUAGAUAUUGGGAAGAACACCAGUGGCGAAAGCGCUCGACUGGGCCUGCACUGACACUGAGGGACGAAAGCUAGGGGAGCG